rnacentral:rRNA from 1 species
GAUGAACGCUAGCGGCAGGCUUAACACAUGCAAGUCGAGGGGUAUAGGUUUUCGGACCUAGAGACCGGCGCACGGGUGCGUAACGCGUAUGCAAUCUACCUUUUACAGAGGGAUAGCCCAGAGAAAUUUGGAUUAAUACCUCAUAGUAUAAUGAUUCGGCAUCGAGACAUUAUUAAAGUUCCAACGGUAAAAGAUGAGCAUGCGUCCCAUUAGCGAGAUGGUAAGGUAACGGCUUACCAUGGCGACGAUGGGUAGGGGUCCUGAGAGGGAGAUCCCCCACACUUGUACUGAGACACGGACCAGACUCCUACGGGAGGCAGCAGUGAGGAAUAUUGGUCAAUGGGCGCAAGCCUGAACCAGCCAUGCCGCGUGCAGGAUGACGGUCCUAUGGAUUGUAAACUGCUUUUGUACAGGAAGAAACAGUUCUACGUGUAGAACCUUGACGGUACUGUAAGAAUAAGGAUCGGCUAACUCCGUGCCAGCAGCCGCCGUAACAC